GUGGGGAAUAUUGGACAAUGGGCGAAAGCCUGAUCCAGCCAUGCCGCGUGUGUGAAGAAGGUCUUCGGAUUGUAAAGCACUUUAAGUUGGGAGGAAGGGCAGUAAGUUAAUACCUUGCUGUUUUGACGUUACCGACAGAAUAAGCACCGGCUAACUUCGUGCCAGCAGCCGCGGUAAUACGAAGGGUGCAAGCGUUAAUCGGAAUUACUGGGCGUAAAGCGCGCGUAGGUGGUUUUGUAAGUUGGAGGUGAAAUCCCCGGGCUCAACCUGUGAACUGCCUCCAAAACUGCAUGACUAGAGUACGGUAGAGGGUAGUGGAAUUUCCUGUGUAGCGGUGAAAGGCGUAGAUAUAGGAAGGAACACCAGUGGCGAAGGCGACUACCUGGACUGAUACUGACACUGAGGUGCGAAAGCGUGGGGAGCAAACAGGAUUAGAAACCCCAGUAGUCC
rnacentral:rRNA from 1 species